UGGGGAAUUUUGGACAAUGGGCGCAAGCCUGAUCCAGCCAUGCCGCGUGCGGGAAGAAGGCCUUCGGGUUGUAAACCGCUUUUGUCAGGGAAGAAAUCUUCUGAGUUAAUACCUCGGGAGGAUGACGGUACCUGAAGAAUAAGCACCGGCUAACUACGUGCCAGCAGCCGCGGUAAUACGUAGGGUGCAAGCGUUAAUCGGAAUUACUGGGCGUAAAGCGUGCGCAGGCGGUUUUGUAAGACAGAGGUGAAAUCCCCGGGCUCAACCUGGGAACUGCCUUUGUGACUGCAAGGCUUGAGUGCGGCAGAGGGGGAUGGAAUUCCGCGUGUAGCAGUGAAAUGCGUAGAUAUGCGGAGGAACACCGAUGGCGAAGGCAAUCCCCUGGACCUGCACUGACGCUCAUGCACGAAAGCGUGGGGAGCAAACAGGAUUAGAUACCCUGGUAGUCCACGCCCUAAACCGAUGUCAACUGGUUGUUGGGAAGGUUCCUUCUCAGUAACGUAGCUAACGCGUGAAGUUGACCGCCUGGGGAGUACGGCCGCAAGGUU
rnacentral:rRNA from 1 species